UCUUCACCAUGGUGUUUUUG
rnacentral:piRNA from 1 species